rnacentral:rRNA from 1 species
ACUCUAUACUGAGAUCCGAUAGCAAGCUGUACUUGUACAGCGAAGUGGCUGAUACCAUGCUUCCAGGAAAAGUCUCUAAGCUUCAGUUACACAGGAAUCGUACCCGAAACCGACACAGGUGGUCAGGUCGAGUAGACCAAGGCGCUUGAGAGAACUCUGCUGAAGGAACUAGGCAAAAUGGUACCGUAACUUCGGGAGAAGGUACGCUGUUGUUGGUGAUGGAACUUGCUUCCUGAGCUGAUGACAGCCGCAGAAACCAGGCCGCUGCAACUGUUUAUUAAAAACAUAGCAC